rnacentral:rRNA from 1 species
AGUGAACGCUGGCGGUAGGCCUAACACAUGCAAGUCGAACGGCAGCACAGUAAGAGCUUGCUCUUACGGGUGGCGAGUGGCGGACGGGUGAGGAAUACAUCGGAAUCUACUUUUUCGUGGGGGAUAACGUAGGGAAACUUACGCUAAUACCGCAUACGACCUACGGGUGAAAGCAGGGGAUCUUCGGACCUUGCGCGAUUGAAUGAGCCGAUGUCGGAUUAGAUAGUUGGCGGGGUAAAGGCCCACCAAGGCGACAAUCCGUAGCUGGUCUGAGAGGAUGAUCAGCGACACUGGAACUGAGACACGGUCCAGACUCCUACGGGAGGCAGCAGUGGGGAAUAUUGGAGAAUGGGCGGAAGCCUGAUCCAGCCAUACCGCGUGGGUGAAGAAGGCCUUCGGGUUGUAAAGCCCUUUUGUUGGGGAAGAAAAGCAGGAGGUUAAUACCCCGCUGUUCUGACGGUACCCAAAGAAUAAGCACCGGCUAACUUCGUG